CUCAACCGUGGAAUUGCAGGGCGAACUGGCAGUCUUGAGGCAGGUAGGGGUCAACGGAACUGUCGGUGGAGCGGUGAAAUGUGUAGAUAUCGACAGGAACGCCAGUGGCGAAGGCGGUUGACUGGGCCUGUCCUGACGCUCAGGCACGAAAGCGUGGGGAGCAAACGGGAUUAGAUACCCUGGUAGUCCACGCCGUAAACGAUGCACACUAGGUCGCGGCGUCUCUGACGUCGUCGCGGCCGAAGCAAAAGUGUUAAGUGUGCCGCCUGGGGAGUACGGUCGCAAGGCUAAAACUCAAAGGAAUUGACGGGGGCUCACACAAGCGGUGGAGCAUGUUGCUUAAUUCGAGGCAACGCGAAGAACCUUACCUGGGUUUGACAUGCACGGAUUAACCUUUCGAAAGAUCGGCCACGCCCUUUGGGUGGAACG
rnacentral:rRNA from 1 species